rnacentral:lncRNA from 1 species
ACCUGUACUAACGGCCAUUUAUAUAAUACGGACGCGGCCAAAUAAUCUCAUUAUUUUUAAAACCCACUUCAUAGAACUUUACCAGUUAAUAUCGGCCAAAAUAUUUUUUAUGGGUACUUGUUGAUAAUACCCAAUAUUGCGAAAUACCCAAUACUAUUUUAUUACUUAUCGUAUUUAUCUAAAAUGAGAUUAAAAAUAACCUGCAUAAUAAUUUAUUACGGUCGGUGGUGGGUAACACGAAGGAAGGAUGUCAUAAAAUAAGAAACAUUUGUCGCUAAAAAAACAUAAUAAAAAUAUAAUAGCUGAGAAAUUGAAAAGUCUGGUUUAAAUUUACAAAAGUUUGCCGAAAAAUAUAGUGUUGUAAAAUUAUGAUUGUAUAUAGUGAUUUGUAUUAUAAAAAGAAAAAUAAAAGUGCAGCUAUAUGUGCUUCAGGCCAAUUUAGAUCAGUAGCAGAUGUUACGACUUAACACCCAGACAAAAGGAAAUACUCAUCUCAAAUAUGUCUACAAUUCUUUCCAUAAUCGAACCUCAAGAUUUUAUUCCUUUAAUAAACUUGGUGAUGUCUUCAAGUUCAAUAAAACAGAUGGUUGUUCAGGGACUGGGGGAAUUUUUGUUAAAAGAGCUAAGUCUAACUAUGGUUCAAUAAUAUUGGUUGUACUUUUUACAAAUUUGCUAUUAUAUUUUUAAUAUCAAUAUACAUAUUCUUAAAAUAAAAUGUGAAACGGA